UGCAAGUCGAACGGAAAGGCCCUUCGGGGUACUCGAGUGGCGAACGGGUGAGUAACACGUGGGUGAUCUGCCCUGCACUUCGGGAUAAGCCUGGGAAACUGGGUCUAAUACCGGAUAUGACCUUGGGAUGCAUGUCCUUUGGUGGAAAGCUUUUGCGGUGUGGGAUGGGCCCGCGGCCUAUCAGCUUGUUGGUGGGGUUAAGGCCUACCAAGGCGACGACGGGUAGCCGGCCUGAGAGGGUGACCGGCCACACUGGGACUGAGAUACGGCCCAGACUCCUACGGGAGGCAGCAGUGGGGAAUAUUGGUCAAUGGGCGAGAGCCUGAACCAGCCAUCCCGCGUGCAGGAUGACGGCCCUACGGGUUGUAAACUGCUUUUAUGUACCAAGAAUGUGUUCUACGUGUAGGAUUUUGACGGUAGUACAUGAAUAAGCAUCGGCUAACUCCGUGCCAGCAGCCGCGGUAAUACGGAGGAUGCAAGCGUUAUCCGGAUUCAUUGGGUUUAAAGGGUGCGUAGGCGGCUAUAUAAGUCAGUGGUGAAAUGCUGCAGCUCAACUGUAGAACUGCCAUUGAAACUGUAUAGCUUGAGUGCGCCUGAGGUAGGCGGAAUGAGUAGUGUAGCGGUGAAAUGCUUAGAUAUUACUCAGAACACCGAUUGCGAAGGCAGCUUACUAAAGCGUAACUGACGCUGAUGCACGAAAGCGUGGGGAGCGAACAGGAUUAGAUACCCUGGUAGUCCACGCCGUAAACGAUGAUAACUCGCUGUUGGCGAUACACAGUCAGCGGCUUAGCGAAAGCAUUAAGUUAUCCACCUGGGGAGUACGAUCGCAAGGUUGAAACUCAAAGGAAUUGACGGGGGCCCGCACAAGCGGAGGAACAUGUGGUUUAAUUCGAUGAUACGCGAGGAACCUUACCUGGGCUU
rnacentral:rRNA from 1 species